CCUACGGGAGGCUGCAGUGGGGAAUUUUGGACAAUGGGGGAAACCCUGAUCCAGCCAUGCCGCGUGAGUGAAGAAGGCCUUCGGGUUGUAAAGCUCUUUCAGCAGGAACGAAACGGUAAGCUUUAAUAAAGUUUGCUAAUGACGGUACCUGAAGAAGAAGCACCGGCUAACUACGUGCCAGCAGCCGCGGUAAUACGUAGGGUGCGAGCGUUAAUCGGAAUUACUGGGCGUAAAGCGUGCGCAGGCGGUUUUGUAAGACAGAUGUGAAAUCCCCGGGCUUAACCUGGGAACUGCGUUUGUGACUGCAAGACUAGAGUGUGGCAGAGGGGGGUAGAAUUCCACGUGUAGCAGUGAAAUGCGUAGAGAUGUGGAGGAAUACCGAUGGCGAAGGCAGCCCCCUGGGUCAACACUGACGCUCAUGCACGAAAGCGUGGGGAGCAAACAGGAUUAGAUACCCCAGUAGUC
rnacentral:rRNA from 1 species